UUAUAACCUUUAUGGAGUAUCCUUCUUUUUUUUUAUGGAGAUUUGUGUUCUGAUAGCUUAUAUUCGUUAAUGUUUGGCUCUAGAUAUGAUAUUCUUUAAGAGUGGAAUUAUUUGUUGAUAUAUUUGCCGACUAUUGUGAUUUUAAGGGGUGUUGUUGUCCUAUUAGAUUUUUUUAGCCUUAUUUUUUUUUUCUUUUGAUGUAGUUUUUGUUUGGUCUUUUCCAGAUACCUCUUAUGCCAUAUUUUUGUGUUUGUGUGGUUUUUUUUCGAAUUAUUGAUUGUAAUACUUCUUUCAUAUUAAUA
rnacentral:lncRNA from 1 species